rnacentral:rRNA from 1 species
GACGAACGCUGGCGGCGUGCCUAAUACAUGCAAGUCGAGCGAAGUUUUUCUGGUGCUUGCACCGGAAAAACUUAGCGGCGAACGGGUGAGUAACACGUAAAGAACCUGCCUCAUAGACUGGGACAACUAUUGGAAACGAUAGCUAAUACCGGAUAACAGCAUUAACUGCAUGGUUGAUGUUUAAAGGUUGGUUUUGCCAACACUAUAAGAUGGCUUUGCGGUGCAUUAGCUAGUUGGUGGGGUAAAGGCCUACCAAGGCGACGAUGCAUAGCCGACCUGAGAGGGUGAUCGGCCACACUGGGACUGAGACACGGCCCAGACUCCUACGGGAGGCAGCAGUAGGGAAUCUUCCGCAAUGGGCGAAAGCCUGACGGAGCAACGCCGCGUGAGUGAAGAAGGAUUUCGGUUCGUAAAGCUCUGUUGUUAGGGAAGAAUGAUUGUGUAGUAACUAU